rnacentral:rRNA from 1 species
UACGUAGGGGGCAAGCGUUGUCCGGAUUUAUUGGGCGUAAAGAGCGUGUAGGCGGCCAGGUAGGUCUGCUGUGAAAACUCGAGGCUUAACCUCGAGAUGUCGGCGGAAACCAUCUGGCUAGAGUCCGGAAGAGGAGAGUGGAAUUCCGUGGAUGUAGCGGUGAAAUGCGCAGAUAUCAGGAGGAACGACCGGUGGCGAAGGCGGGUCUCUGGGCGAGUAACUGACGCUGAGGAACGAAAGCGUGGGUAGCAAACAGG